GACAUUUUAUAUGCGUCAACUGCAGCGAUUUUGCAGCAAGUGGUUAUCAUCACUAUUACUAAGAAGACAACAUAAAGCAUUAGAGCUCGACUCGUCCCGACUUUUUGCAACUUUUCAAAGUGAUAUGCGAACUACAUUUUGUGUAGCUAUGAAAUAUUCUAACGCAGAUGUUUCCACAAAGGAUUUAUUCUAAUAACUACAGCCUGACGUACACCUUUAUUGGUAAUUUUUCUAUGAAUCAAUAAAAUAUUGUGGAUAUGGUGUAACGGAACUUCUAUGAAAAUUAAUAUGGCUCUUUCCUCUUUGCGGAUUUUUUACAAUUGGGAAAUAUCAAGACGUCAAAUAAAGCACCACGCCAAAUUUGAAGAUCUUGAAAACCAACUGGACAAUAAGGAGAUAUUUAAGGACAGUUAAAUUUCAUAUAACAAAGAAUCAACUACAGGAUGAAAGAACCCUGAACGCGAUGCCCCUGAUUAUUUAACUUCAUUGCAAACCAAAUAGACUAACACAUAGAAGGACACAUUUUCAAGAGAA